UCCGUAGCCGGUUUGAUCAGUCUUUUGGGAAAUCUGACUGCUUAACUGUUAGGCUUCCAAAGGAUACUGUCAGACUUGGGACCGGGAGAGGUAAGAGGUACUACAGGGGUAGGAGUGAAAUCUUGUAAUCCCUGUGGGACCACCAGUGGCGAAGGCGUCUUACCAGAACGGGUCCGACGGUGAGGGACGAAAGCUGGGGGCACGAACAGGAUUAGAUACCCUGGUAGUCC
rnacentral:rRNA from 1 species